CCAGCUACAACCCAAGCCUUCUGAAUUCGAUAAUGAUCCUUCCGCAGGUUCACCUACGGA
rnacentral:rRNA from 1 species